GACGAACGCUGGCGGCGUGCUUAACACAUGCAAGUCGAACGGAAAGGCCCUGCUUUUGUGGGGUGCUCGAGUGGCGAACGGGUGAGUAACACGUGAGUAACCUGCCCUUGACUUUGGGAUGACUUCAGGAAACUGGGGCUAAUACCGGAUAGGAGCUCCUGCUGCAUGGUGGGGGUUGGAAAGUUUCGGCGGUUGGGGAUGGACUCGCGGCUUAUGAGCUUGUUGGUGGGGUAGUGGCUUACCAAGGCUUUGACGGGUAGCCGGCCUGAGAGGGUGACCGGCCACCUGGGGCCUGAGGGAGGGAGCAGACGGCAACGGGAGGCAGUAGUGGGGAACAUUGCACAGUGGGCGGAAGCGUGAUGCAGCAGCGUCGCGUGUGGGAUGACGGCCUGCGGGUUGUAAACCGCUGUCGGCUGUGACGAAGCGGGAGUGACGGUAAUGGGUAAAGAAGCACCGGCUAACUACGUG
rnacentral:rRNA from 1 species